AUGCUCGCAAGAGUGAACUAGCUAACUGAAAUCACAUGAGCCAUGCGUAAUUGUUGGUGAUUGUGAUAACGUAAGGGAAAAAAAUGAUAUUACCUUACUAUUAGUGUUGUCCAAAACUGGUGCCAGAAGACUCGGUAAGGCCAGAGACGCAAACGUUAGUCGUCCUAAUCAGGCGUAAAGGGUUUGUAGGCUGCUUUAAAAGUUUUAUUUUUAUAAUAGCUCUGUAACCGUAAUAAUACAAAAUUUAAUUAAUUAAAAAUUGUAUUAUGUAAAUUAUAUUUAGUCUUAUCUUUAGUUUAAUUCGUGUUUAUAAUUAAUCCGUAAGGGUUAAAUUUUAACUUGGAGAAAUAAAAAGAAUAUAGGCAAAAAUAAAUGAUAUUUAAAUGUUUAUUAAAUAACACUAAAAUAUACGUGUCACAGUAAAAAAUAAGAUUAAUUAAAGCUAGAAUCAAAUUGGGGAUAAACCGAAUAAUACUUAGAGUAGGGAUUAUAUCCGUAGAUACUAAGGGGAAUACUAAAGGUGAAAGCUUUUUAUCUACUAUUGAUUGACGCUGAGAAACGAAGGUGAGAAUAGGAAAUAGGAUUAGAUACCCAGAUACCUCUCACUGUCAACGAUGAAUGGUGGUUGUUAGUUUUAAUAAAAACUGGUAACGAUGUUAACACGAUAACCAUUCCGCCUUGCGAGUACGGUUGCAAAACUGAAACCAAAAAAAUUAGUCGUCUCGAAGCAAGCAAAGAG
rnacentral:rRNA from 1 species